UUUUCGCUAGCGCCGGAGGCUAACUAGCUCGCUAACAAGCAAGCUAACAAUAUCUUCGAAUGGGUGCAGUAACUGUUCUUCGAUUCGAUUGGGGUUAUUACCGACAAACACCGACAUGAAACGACAUGAGCGGGUCCACCCAGCAGAUAUAAGCGUUACUUUAUGCGGAUGACUCUGAGACAGGAGACUGUGUGUCGGCUUGUAAGUUAGUUUCGCUAGCGGGCUAGCGAUGCUAACUGAAACCUGAGAAACCUGAGUGUUUAAAGUCACAUCUGCAUUGCAAGAGCAGCUGUUCAAAGGAGCAUUACGUGUCCUAAAGCUCUUUCUUCAGAGUAGUGUUGUAACGUGUUACAGUGAAAAGUAACCGUGUCUCCCACCUUCAGUAUUUAAAUCGUUAAUCUCAGACAGACUUCACUGAAUUCUUUUGUUAAAUAUGAGUAAAUCAUAGCCUUGUAACUUUACUAGAACAGACAGUGUCAUACAGAAUUGUAGGCUAAUAUGCACUACCUAUUUCCUAAGCUGAAAUGAUUAUGAUCUGAUUAACUUUGAAUUAAUAUUUUAUUAUUACCAUGUAAAAGUCUGUUAAGCAGAUAACAUGGCACAUGUAUGACUUAACAUAUCUGUGUAUUUGUGUUCAAUGUUCCUCUAGGAUGUCCAGCGUGAGACACAACUUGAAUCCAACCAGACUGAACACUGACUCCAGGGACGGACGAGCCUGAAGGACACAGCUGUGAUGACCAAUUGACCAUGUUUUGUCUCUUAUGGCAAAGCAGAAAUAUUAAACACUGGGUUCUUAUCUAAAGUGUAUCAAAUCAGAAAGCAAAAGAUACACAUUGUUGUUAUAAGUUUUUAUUAUUUUAACCAACCAUAAUGAAGAUAGAAAUGAAUUCUUAUCCAUGCCACUUAGCAAUGACUGCCACCACCAAACAGUUGCAGGCCAUCUUUAUUUAAGGGAGGAAUUUAGAAGUGUUGUGUAGCUUCUGAUGAUGAUGCAGUCGUCCACGUGUUGACCACCAUGUUGCUGCUGACGACGUCAGGUGCUGCAGUUCCUCAUCUAUAAAGAGAAGAAACGCACUGUUAAAGAAUGUUUUGAGUUGUGUAUGAAGCACAACAGAUUUCAGAUAGAACCGUUGUACUGUGGUCUGGGUUUGUAUCCUAAUGGUUAAAUGCACAUAUUUUAAGUCGCUUUUGAUAAAAGUACUGAAAGAAAUACAACAUUGUAAAAAUAGAUAAAAUGUCUUUCUACCUCAUCUGUAAUAUUCAAGGUGAUAAUCUCCCACAGAGCUAUUGAUAACAGUCCACAUCAAGUCUCUCCACUUCCCUCAGUGUGAAAACAUAAUUAUAUAAUUAAUUUGAGAACUGUUUACAACACUGAUGUGUGGAGAUUAAAAUCAUAUCUAAACUG